GUUGCGCAUCGUUAGCGCGUCUGACUACAAAUCAGAAGGUUCCGUGUUCAAAACACGUC
rnacentral:tRNA from 1 species